GACGGCGGCGGUGGGGAUAGAGAGGAGGAGUGUGUAGGAAAGAGGAGCAGUGUAGACCGGCCUCCUCUUACGACGCCGGCGUAGGGGACCGCUACCGUCACCCCCGCCCACUCCGACGUUCCGCUGCUCGGUUCCGCCGUCACGUCCCGGAGUGUCCAAGAGCUAGACCUCGCCGUCCCUGCCUGCGGCCGCUCCGACCAGGGGGUGGAGAGGAGUGGAAGAGGCUGCAAGGGCCAGACCUCGCCCUCCCUGCCUGCGGCCGCUCCGGUCGGAGGGAAGUGUGUGUCCAUGAAGGGGAGAGGGGAAACACGGGGGAGAGAGAAGGUGCCGGAGAGAAAUAACAAUGUGUGUCUCAGUAACCCCGUCGUGUGGUAUACUUAGGUUUCAAUGAGUGCACUAAGAACGGAGAGGUCCAAAAUCUAGAAAGAUUUGAUAAACGAUAACAACACACUCUUGACUUAGUUGACUACCUAUAGUUCCAAACGACGGAAGUUCAACACAAAGGGGUAUUAUUCCCGAGGUGAGUCAGUUAAUAAAAAAAUACCGACGUCUAAUACACCCUACAAGACGUGUUAGUUGAACCCUUAUUAAUCGUUCAUCACCACAGUUACCGUAGGCAGUCUCGGUAAAACCACCGUGUACGUGUGGUGCAAGACCUUACAGAGUGUUAGUUGAACCCGUCAACUACAUCCGACGGAGUUAAAAGACAGACACAUCGUCGUUGUUCAAGUACUUAGAUGACGAACAACGGAAAUAAUAAAACUAGAUACUUUUUUCUUUUAAAUGGGACAGUAAAUACACAUGCAAAGAAGAGAAUGACUAAAAUGAACGAGCUGUUUUCACGUUGUUUCGUUAAAAAAUAAGUAUAUCUAUAUAUUUUACGUAAAAAUACCACAGAGAAAGAUGUACUAUAAGAAACACAAGGUGCUAUUGAAAAUCACUAAAAACCACUACAUAUACCUAACGCCGUCUACUUCCUCCUACCUCCCUUACACCUAUGCCGAACCAAUCGUAGAUAACUCCAACAAUCACUCGUAAAGGAGGCCACAGUUGAUGAUUACUAUAAGAAACAACUUUAAUCGAUUUUCUUUUUUCACGAAUACGUUAUACGAACCACUUUGAAAGAUCCAAAAUCCAACCACCUGGUAUGAAUACGUUUUUCCUAUCAUGUUUAAACCCUAAUCAAAUACAAGAGUAAGGUGUUCCCACCUCACUGGUAACACAAAAACAUACGGUUGAGAACAAAGCAAUCAAUCACCGUCGUUGUUACAUAAACUUGGAAGCAUCAUUUCGGUUCUGUGAUGACCAAUUUUUCUUUGGAGAAAAAAAUUGUGGGUCUCCGAACAAAUAAAACACCUACCAACAACGUGAAAAGAGAUAACUUCUUGUCCUUACGGUAUACAUGUAAAUAAAAGAGACAUUUUAGGUU
rnacentral:rRNA from 1 species